rnacentral:rRNA from 1 species
GACGAACGCUGGCGGCGUGCCUAAUACAUGCAAGUAGGACGCAGUUGCGAACGGGUGAGUAACGCGUAGGUAACUACCUAUUAGAGGGGGAUAACUAUUGGAAACGAUAGCUCAUACCGCAUACUCGUAGAUGGACCUGCGUUGUAUUCGCUAGUAGGUAGGGGAAUGACCUAACUAGGCAACGAUACAUAGCCGACCUGAGAGGGUGAUUGGACAACCUGGGAAUGAGACACUGCCCAGACUCCUACGGGAGGGAGGAGUAGGGAAUCGUCGGCAAUGGGGGGAACCCUGACCGAGCAACGCCGCGUGAGUGAAGAAGGUUUUCGGAUCGUAAAGCUCUGUUGUUAAGGAAGCGGUACUUAACCAGAAAGGGACGGCUAACUACGUGCCAGCCGCCGCGGUAAUAC